rnacentral:rRNA from 1 species
AUUGAACGCUGGCGGCAUGCCUUACACAUGCAAGUCGAACGGCAGCACGGGUGCUUGCACCUGGUGGCGAGUGGCGAACGGGUGAGUAAUACAUCGGAACAUGUCCUGUAGUGGGGGAUAGCCCGGCGAAAGCCGGAUUAAUACCGCAUACGAACUACGGAUGAAAGCGGGGGACCUUCGGGCCUCGCGCUUUGGGGUUGGCCGAUGGCUGAUUAGCUAGUUGGUGGGGUAAAGGCCUACCAAGGCGACGAUCAGUAGCUGGUCUGAGAGGACGACCAGCCACACUGGGACUGAGACACGGCCCAGACUCCUACGGGAGGCAGCAGUGGGGAAUUUUGGACAAUGGGCGAAAGCCUGAUCCAGCAAUGCCGCGUGUGUGAAGAAGGCCUUCGGGUUGUAAAGCACUUUUGUCCGGAAAGAAAUCCUUGGCCCUAAUACGGUCGGGGGAUGACGGUACCGGAAGAAUAAGCACCGGCUAACUACGUG